rnacentral:lncRNA from 1 species
GGGGAUGUCGGCUGCUGACGAAAUGAGCCGCAAACUGAUGGCUCAUUUGAUCAAAGGAGAAGAUAGUACUCGGCUUCAGUGUUGAGUAUCAAUUUCUUGCUGCUCCCUUUAAGGUAGAUGGGAAAGCUCGGCACAGGAUGGCAUCUGGUGCGUCAUGGAGCAGCAUCAUUAUCCGAAAGGUCUCCAAGUGAUCAACCGGAUCUGAGGUCCCAUCGUAGCCUCAAAUUGGGGGAGCUUGAAGUUCAACAGGAUCGGUUUCUGUAUAAUUUUUUGAGAAAAAGGAGGGUCAGUACAGAUAUCCUCACCAU